rnacentral:lncRNA from 1 species
GUAUUAAAUACACACACACACACACACACACACACACACACACACACACACACACACACACACAAACACGAAUCAGGAGAGGAAGAAAACCAAAUUUUGAAACCAUAUAGAUUUUUUUUUAGAAAGAUGAUGUUAACAGAACAACCCAUGACUUUCGUGACAAUCCUACAUUUUCAAAUUGUGAUGGGUACAGUAAUAGCUUAGAAAAUAGAAAAUAAAUUCUUUCUAGCAUAUUGCAUUUAAUUACAUUGAAUUAAUACAAAUUCAACUACAUUUAUUAGUUUAAAAAAACAUACACACUACUGUUUAUUGUUCUGUUAGCGUUCCCUCUAGUGACCAUUAGGGUUACUACAAUGAAAUUGAAUACAUGGCUUAAUUGUGCCAAGAGGCUGUUGUGUUGUUCAAAAUGAAAACACUUAGAGAGAUUCUCACCAGCAAAGCAUUCUGUAGAAGGAGUUGUGUAGCUGCUGGUCCUUGGCUGUUUGCAACCACUUUUCUGAUGCGGUUGACGACACAUGACAAACUUAGCUAUAUGGACACAGAAUCUAGGUUAUAUUUUUCAUGCUCCCCAAAGGCAUUAAAUAAUAAUAAUAAUAAUAAUAAACCCCAAGAUGCAUAUAUCUCUCCAUAAAACAUUCCAUAUAGUUCUUUAAAAAUAACCACUCUGUUAUUCACACCAGAAAUUCUGUUCUUAUAUCUGCUUUCAUGUGAAGCAAGCAUACAAAAGAAAAGAUGAGGAAUGUAGUGUGAACUUGCCACACAAUGCAUAAAGACAGCAUUGGUAGCUCCUAAGAGAGGCAUAGGCCUGGGCACUCCAGGGGAUGGCUACUCUACAGCCACUGUAUUUUCUAAGGGUCCAUGAAGUUUUUUCUUUUCUCCUUCUGUGAAUGCAAGGUGUGAAAUCUACCAAUAUCUGGUUGUAAACAUUUAGUGUCCCAGAAAAAUCAAAAUCAAAGGAGAAAUAUACAACCAUACUAGAAUAAGAAAUGAAUAAUUUUAUUUUUUUCCUCUAUUUGAUUGCUAAAGUUUUAAAGACUUUUGUGAGCCUUUGUGGGAUAUUAGAUUUUCGAAGUCCAAGAUGUCUGAGCCUAGCUGAGCUUGCACUGUACCCCAUUGUGACGGAGCACUUUUAACUUUUGGUGAAGAUAACAGUCUGUUCUUUCACAGAUGGGGAGAAUGUAGCAACCAGUCUAAGCCAAGCAUCUUUGACAGUUAACUACUUCUUACGUUACUUAGAUUUGUCACCAUGUAGCUCUGUUUGAAUUGGCCAUAUUUUGAAACGUUCUCUUGUUUUCAAUGGUACAAUUUUAUAACAAUGAAUCUGGGUUAUAGAAGUACAUAACGAAUAAUGACAUGGAGUGGCCAAAUUUGCAUGUGUCUGUCCCCAGAAGGGUGGACUGUAAUUUUAUUGGAUGUCUGCAGCUAUUACCUUGAAGGAUAAAUAUUCAUUUUUCAUCUAUUCUUCCCCAUCUAGAUUGUAUCAGGAUUAACUGUAAUUCCAGUAAGUGCCUAUUCAAAAUUUUUAAACUGUUUUUCCUCCAUUACAAUGUAAGCUAGUCAAGGAAAAGAGAGAGAAAGAGAGAGUAAGAGAAAUACAUUUAUAAAUUUCAUGAUGAAGCAGUCCAUCAUCUGGGAUGUAAAAAUUCAUUUUAUAUUUAAACCAGUCAAAGGGUUUCCCACUAAAGUUCCUCCUCCUGUUUGGGAAAGAAAUGGCAUAUAUUUUGAAGCAGAAGGCAUUUGGACAGAUCUUGAGGUUCAAUAGUUUCCUUUAUAAUUAAAUAGAAAAACAUACCAUGGGCCUUAUUUCCUUCUGUUUCUAUCACUUAAUUCAAAUAUAUAAAAGAGAUGUCUAACUUAUCUUAUUUUGGGAAUUGUUAACCAAAGUUCUAAACUCAUACAAAGAUUUAUGUAGACACAGUAUUUUCUUCCUGAUCUUAUGCUCUGAGACAACCAUGAACCAGGAGAGUUCAUUCUUGAUUAUUAAGACAAUCUACAUGAUGAAUUUUUACAUCCUGAUCAUAUAUCUACAAAAAUAACUAAAACCAUUCAAAUAUGUGAUAUGCAUGCUAAAUGAUGAGUCAGAAAGAUGCAUGGACUGAGUUUUAUUUGAAUUUUCAUGGAGAUCUGAAAAGAUACAAGGACUGUGGUUUUAUUUUGAGCCCCAGCAUUAAGUAAUAAGCAAACCAAUUACAAUUCUUUCUGUGAAUCUUUAGAUUUUUCUUUUUCAGGUUUUGCUGACCACAUAAAGGAAGCUCUUCCAAUGACCACAAAUUCAUUAGCUAUGUAAUAAAAUGAUUUUAAUAAACCUCUAAUCUCUC